rnacentral:misc_RNA from 1 species
UUUCCGUAGGUGAACCUGCGGAAGGAUCAUUAAUGAGUUGUCAUGGGGUUCGAUGCUGGCAGCCAGUUUUUGGAUGCAUGUGCUUGCCCUAACAAUCAUCUUCUUCCAAACACCUGUGCACAUUUUUGAGGGAGUCUUGAGUUGGUUGCCGCUCUUGGGUGAUUUUCUCACAUUCCCUUAAAUCAUUAUACGCUAUUAACAAUGUUGAACGUGCUCUGUGCCGCAAGGCCAUUAAUAUAGUACAACUUUUAACAACGGAUCUCUUGGCUCUU